UGGUGACUGAGGACCAGUGAGGCGGGAUGGGGUUGAGGAUGGGGGGCGGGGGUGUGGCAGGGACGGAGGCACUGGGAGACAGGAACUGCCUGGCAUUCCAAGGGGAGGGAAGCACGGUGCAUCCCCAAACUCCAGAGCCAUCUGGUGACAGCCUCUGGCUGAGCAUGGCCCUCCUCGCCCUGGGCCUGGACCCCUGGAGCCUCCUGUGCCUUUUCCUCUUCCAACUGUUUCUGGCAUGGCUGCCGCUGACUGCAGGGGGCAGUGGGCAGGGGCCCCUGCCCAGGGUCACGUUCGGGGCAGGGGAUGGACGCAGGGCUCUCAGCCUCUUCCAGCAGAAGGGCCUCCAGGAUUUUGACACUCUGCUCUUGAGUGGUGAUGGAGGCACUCUCUAUGUGGGGGCUCGAGAGACCAUUCUGGCCUUGGAUAUCCAGGACUCAGGGAUGCCAAAGCUGAAGAACAUGAUACCCUGGCCAGCCAGUGACCAAAAAAAGAAUGAAUGUGCAUUUAAGAAGAAGAGCAUCGAGACACAGUGCUUCAACUUUAUCCGUGUCCUGGUCUCUGUCAAUGCCACCCACCUGUAUGCCUGUGGCACCUUCGCUUUCAGCCCCGCUUGUACCUUCAUUGAACUCCAAGAUUCCUACCUGUUGCCCAUCUCUGAGGACAAGGUUGUGGAAGGGAAGGGCCAAAGUCCCUUUGACCCUGCCCAUAAGCACACAGCUGUCUUAGCAGAUGGGAUGCUCUAUUCUGGCACCAUGAACAAUUUCCUGGGCAGCGAGCCCAUCUUGAUCCGCACGCUGGGACCCCAGCCCGUCCUCAAGACCGACAAUUUCCUCCGCUGGCUGCAGCCGGACGCCUCCUUCGUGGCAGCCAUCCCUUCGACCCACUUCGUCUACUUCUUCUUCGAGGAGACAGCCAGCGAGUUCGAGUUCUUUGAGAAGCUCCACACGUCGCGGGUGGCCAGAGUCUGCAAGAACGACGUGGGCGGGGACAAGCUGCUGCAGAAGAAGUGGACCACUUUCCUGAAGGCCCAGCUGCUGUGCUCUCAGCCGGGGCAGCUGCCCUUCAACGUCAUCCGCCACGCCGUCCUGCUGCCCGCCGCUGCCCCCGCCGAGCCCCGCGUCUACGCGACCUUCAGCUCUCAGUGGCAGAUUGGUGGGACCAGGAGCUCUGCUGUCUGUGCCUUCUCUCUCAAGGACAUCAAGCGUGUCUUUGAGGGGAAGUACAAGGAGUUGAAUAAAGAGACUUCACGCUGGACUACUUAUGGAGUCCCCGAGAUCAGUCCCCGGCCAGGCAGUUGCUCUGUAGGCCCCUCUUCUGAUAAAGCCUUGACCUUCAUGAAGGACCAUUUCCUGAUGGAUGAGCAGGUGAUGGGGACACCCUUGCUGGUGCAGUCGGGUGUGGAGUACACGAAGCUGGCAGUGGAAACAGCCCAGGGCGUCGAUGGGCACAGCCACCUGGUCAUGUACCUGGGCACCGCCACAGGGUCCCUCCAUAAGGCUGUGGUGAGUGAGGACAACAGUGCCCAUCUGGUGGAGGAAAUCCAGCUGUUCCCUGAACCUGUCCGCAACUUGCUGCUGGCCCCCGCGCAGGGCGCAGUGUUUGUGGGCUUCUCAGGGGGCAUCUGGAGGAUUCCCCGAGCCAACUGUAGCAUCUAUGAGAGCUGUGUGGACUGUGUCCUUGCCCGGGACCCCCACUGUGCCUGGGACCCUGAGUCUCGAACCUGCUGCCUCCUGCCUACUCCCAUCCCGAAGUCCUGGAGACAGGACAUGGAGCAAGGGAAUCCAAACUGGGCAUGUGCCACUGGCCCCAUGGGCAGGAGCUUCCAGUCUCAGAGCCGCCCCCAAAUGAUUAAAGAAGUCCUGGCCAUCCCCAACUCCAUCCUGGAGCUCCCCUGCCCCCAUCUGUCAGCCCUGGCCUCCUAUCGCUGGAGUCGUGGCUUGGCACAGGUCCCAGAAGCCUCGGCUGCCGCGGUCUACAAUGGCUCCUUGGUGCUGCUGCUGCGUGGUGGGGUGGGGGGCCUGUACCAGUGCUGGGCCACAGAGAAUGGCUUCUCGUACCCUGUGGUCUCCUACUGGGUGCACAGCCAGGACCAGCCCCUGGCCUUGGACCCUGAACUGGCGGGCAUUCCCCGGGAGCGCAUGGAGGCCCCACUGACCAGGGUUGGUGGUGGGGCUGCCCUGGCUGCUCCGCGGUCCUACUGGCCCCACUUCCUCACAGUUACAGUACUCCUGGCCCUGGUGCUUUCAGGAGGCCUCCUCCUCCUCCUCACCUCCCCGCUGGGGGUGCUCCGAGCCCGGGGCAAGGUACAGGGCUGUGAGACCUUGCCCCCGGGGGAGAAGGCCCCCCUGAGUCGAGAGCAGCACCUCCAACCUCCCAAGGAACUCAGGACCUCUACCAGCAAUGUGGACGCUGACAACAACCAUCUAGGCCCUGAUGUGGCUUAAACUCUGGGCACAGGCUGGGGGAGGGGGGCCCCCGGGCACACUAGCUGGGGGGACCUGGGACAGCACAGCACAAAAGAUCACCUUCCUGCCAUGCCACAGUGGCCCUCAGUGGGGCUGACACAGUGGCCCUCAGAGGCUGAUACAGUGGCCUGACCCCCUGGGGGCCUGCCCUGUACCACACACGUGGGCUCUCCAACCGCCUGUCCCAACCUGGGUCAAAUAAGAGCGGAUCCUUCAGCUCCGGCCAUUCCAAGAUCCUCCAGGAACAGACUGCUUCAGGAGACCCUACAACAUCUUCCUGCACAGAACCAACCCCGCAGCCUUUUCCUCUGCUCGGGCAUCGCCAGAGAGUGCCUCCAACUCUGAGCUCAGGCCAGAGCCGUCCCUGUGGAGCAGCCUCAGCUUGGCCUGGGCAGCACCUCAUCCAUCAUAACACCCGCUGCUUCCCAUCCUCUGCUGUCCCACUGUCUCUCCCCUUCCCUUCUCCACAGCCGCAGGUGGUGUCAACUGUGGGUGAACUGAAUUUUUGGAGACACUGUACAGCCACCUCCAUUCUGGCCACACACUUCCCAAAUCUGACAAAUAGUGCUCUGUCCACACCCCUGGGCUACCUCCCUGGAGGAUCCCCAAGCCUCUUCCCACCUCUGCUGAGACUGCCAGCGUUGCCCCUCAUUCUACCACUCUCUCACCUUCCACCUCCCCUCUCCCAC